UACGAAGGGUGCAAACGUUGCUCGGAAUUAUUGGGCGUAAAGCGCACGUAGGCGGCAUUGCAAGUCGGAUGUGAAAUCUUAUGGCUUAACCAUAAAAGUGCAUCCGAAACUGCAGUGCUUGAGUACUUAAGAGGAUCGCGGAAUUCCCGGUGUAGAGGUGAAAUUCGUAGAUAUCGGGAGGAACACCAGUGGCGAAGGCGGCAUCCUGGACCGACACUGACGCUGAGGAGCGAAAGCCAGGGGAGCAAACAGG
rnacentral:rRNA from 1 species